AUGCUUGCUUUGGCAGCACUAAAAUUGUAAGGCUGUAAUGUUGGGUAGAAGAUUAGAACGGCCCCUGCACAAGGAUGACAUUUAAAUUUGUGAAGCAAGCAUAAUAAAA
rnacentral:snRNA from 1 species